rnacentral:lncRNA from 1 species
GGGUUGAAAUCCGUAUUCUUCCUUCUUUCCAAUCGGCGGCACUGGAAGUGUACUCACGGUGGUGACGAAACGGGGCUGAUUGUAGCUACAUGAUGCAUCUCCUUCUUCUUCGCGAGUUCUUCUUCUCCAUUUCCCUCGCAGUAAAGGGGGAAUCGAAAUCCCUAAUUCCAGUUUUAUCAUCUUCGAUGUCGGUUUUGAAUUGAUGGGGG